UCACAUAAUACCUUCCGCAUAUAUAAUAUUUAAUCAUAUUUUUUUAAAAGUGAAUAUAUAAAAAUUAUCUCAAUUUUACCUACUAAUAUUUAAAAUAUGAGAUAUUUUUUCAAUAAAAUAUAACAUAUAAAUUUACAAUUUAAAAUUUUAAAUUUGUAGUAAAUAUGAUUCACAAAUUGAUAUUGAUUUGAGAUAAUUAUUAAAAUAAUUGUUGACACAGACAUACCCUUUUUUAGUCGGAAAAAAUAUUGUAUUCUAUUUGCAAGAAUAGAAAGAAAUUUAUAUUUAUCUAAAUUUUUGUCAACCGAAAGAUAUUUGCGCGUCCUAUAAAAUAAUAUUCCAUACUUACCAAAAAAACGAAAAUCUCUAUGCAACAAACAUUGAAAAUAUUUUGUAUCUACUAUUUCUCAAUUAGCUAACUAAAAAAAUUAGAUUUGAAAAAAUAAUUUAAAUAAGCUUAUAAAAUCAACUUUAAAUUUUAAAUUUUGUUCAUAAUUUCAAAUGUGAAUUAAUAUUUAAUUCAAAAUUUGAAAUUAAUUAAAUUUUCAAUAUUUUGGGUGUGUAAACAGUAUUUCAAAUUAAAAAUAAUUAAUUAACUUGAAAAUAUAUCAAAUUUUGGGAUGAUAAAUAAAUUAAUGUCUUUAAUAAUUAUUUAUAUUCAAAUUAUGGAUUCAAAAUUAAUUUCAAAUUUUGAGUUUUAUUCAUAAAUUUAAAUAUGAAUUUAUUAAUUUAAAAUUUAGAAUUACUUUAAAUUUUUAAAAUUUGGAUACAUAUUAAAAAAAAAAUUAAAAAAAAUUUAACUGAUAAAUAGAUUUAUACCAUCAAUAAUUAUUUAAAUUUAAAAUAUAAAUAUAAAUUUAAUUUAAUUAAAUGUUACGUGCAUUGCACGUGCACUAUAACUAGUAUAUAUAUGUAUAUAUGAGUACGGCUAUAUAUACCAGCACAACUCUCUCUCUCUCUCUCUCUCUAUAUAUAUAUAUAUAUAUAUAUAAGGUUCGGCUACUAUGCGAUCAAUAACACUAAACACUUGAUACUACCAAGUUUUUCGCCAUUAGAUCGACUUCUUUGGUUAUUUCCACCCGUUAGGUUAUACUAUUAAACUAACCACCAAUCAAUUCUAAGGGACCAUUAUCAUCUUUAACCGUACAUCCCUUCAUCCACUGAUCCAAGGGCCAAAAUAUUUAAUAACACCAAUGAUUUGGUAUUAUUAAUAGUAUAAUAGCAUAGUUCUAUAUAUAUACAAAAAUAAUAUUUGCUAUCUACUUUUUAUCCUUUACAUACAUAGGAUUUGUUAUUUAGUUUAUUAUUAUGAAUCCAAUGGAUGAAAUAUAGAUAGCAAAUACUAUUAAUCUACUAUCAAUAGUAUCAUAAAUAAACACUCUAUCUCUAUCACUCUCGAUAUAUACCCACCCGAUUAACUGGUAAUUUUAUAUAUAAAAAUUUAACUUUUGAAUUAAAAUUUUAUGAUAAGUAUAAAAAUGAUGAAUUCACAAGAACAAAUAAAUGAGCAAAAUAUUAUCAACAAUUUUAAAUCUAAGAUAGAACUAAAAUGAAUUACAUUAGAUAGUUUAUAAACUAAAUUAAAAUCUUAUUGGAAAUUCUGAAAUGCAAAUGUCUUACAGGGAGGAUGUGUUAAGUGCAAAAAGAAAGUACAAUAAAAAAUAUUAUGCUUGUUUUCGUAAGUUAUUUCGUUAUGCAUAUCGCAGUUGAUCGAUUAUGAUAUAUUUUUUACGAUAACACCGGAAAGCGCAAGAGUGUAUCUAUAUAUACUUUUCCUCUAACACUAUUUUAAUUAUUAGCGGUAGAUAAGCCUCAAUACCAAGCAAGCCCAAAAUCAAACUGCGAGGACCAUGAAAAAUAACUCACCUGGACUAGUAAGGGAUGCAGCCAGGAUGUAUAAGGGGCAGGCCACACCUUCUGCCCCAUUCCUUGGCGCGUCGAGGCGGAUUCAAGGCGACUUGGAUUUUCUUCCUAUUUUUUACCUCCCACUUACUACUCCAUUUCGGGCAGAUUUAGAUGGAAGCAGGUUCUUGGUGGAUCAGAACGGAUCAAAAAUGAGAAAGAGUCCUCCACAACCUGCUCCAUGUCUUAGUGGAUCUGGAAGGACUCGGGACAGAAUUUUUUUUUUUCCCUUAUUUUUGACUCUCACUUACUGCCAUAUUCGGGAUGAAUCGGCGCGAAACCUCCAUCAACCCGGAUCCAUUUGCAUCCCUAGGGACUAGGUUGGCCCAAUAACCAACCUGGACUAGUAAGGGGUGCAACCAGGAUGUAUACGGGGCGGGCCACACCUUCCGCCCCAUUUUCUUGGCGUGCCGAGGCGGAUUCGAGGCGACUUGAAUUUUUUUUCUAUUUUUUAACCCCACUUACCACUUCAUUCCGGACAGAUCUGGAUGGAAGCAGAUUCUUGGUGGAUCAGGAUGGAUCAAAAAUGAAAAAAAGUCCUCCACAAUUUGCUCCAUGUUUUAGUGGAUCGGGACGGACUGGGGAUAGAUUUUUUUUUUUAUCUUAUUUUUGACUCUCACUUACUGCCAUAUUCAGGAUGAAUCGGCGUGAAAUUUCCAUCAAUUUGGAUCCAUUUGCAUCCCUAGGGAUUGGGUUGGCCCAAUAGCCCACCCCACAAAGUAUCUCAACCCUUUAGGCCAGUAUCACUGGCAAAUGCCACAGCAUCUCAUUGAUCUCUGACAACAGUAACCACUACACUGAGACUUUGUUAGCAAUAUAUAAGGCCUGUUGGGCCCAACUUUAGCUUCUAUUGUGACAAAAGAGUUUUUUUUUUUUUUUUUUUUUUUUUCAAAAGCAAAAAAGCAAACUACAGGCUCCUAUUUAAGUGUAAAAAGAAUAAACCGGGGAUUCGCAAAAUGCUUAUCUUGAUAAUGCCAUAGUAUCCAAAUAACACUUCAUCAAAUAGUUUUACUGCUUACAACAGAGCCAAAGAUGCAUGUAAUAAAGUGCUAAAGUAAAAUCACAUCAACUAAGAACAAUUUUUGUAUUUAUAACAAUGUUGAUAUUAAAUAAUUAAAUUUAAAAAAUUUAAUAACAAAGUGGUCGUGCCGGAGUGGUUAUCGGGCAUGACUAGAAAUCAUGUGGGCUCUGCCCGCGCAGGUUCGAAUCCUGCCGACCACGUUUUUUUUUUUUUUUUUUUUUUUUUUUUUUUUUUUUUUUUUUUUUCCAGAACUUCACUUCAUUGAAUGUAACAAUUUUUACAUCUCUCCUCCCUUUUUGGAAUAUCAUUUGUGCUUUUGCGUCUUUUUAAUCUUUUACUUUAUACCCAUCAGGCUUAAUUAGUAUGUACUAAAUUUCCUUUCUGUUGAGUUUAAUUUGUAUUUUAUUAUGUUUUCUCCUCUUUCGAGGUGAUCAAAUUUAGUUGUUUAUUGAGCUUCAAUAUUAUUACUACUCCAUUAUAUUUACUUUUCUUUUCUCUUGUUUCUCCCAAACUUUGAUCCACUUCUGUAUUAUUUGUGAUUCCGUGCCUUUUUAAUCUUUUGAUUUAGGGGCUUUUGCUUUAACAUCCCUCGCUACUAUUUAAAUAUUUUAAAUUUACCUAUUUAUUUCCAAAAUGUCUUUCCAAACUCCAAAUCUUAUUAAUAAAUGCUAGGGUUAAGGAUAUUUGAAGGAAUUUUGAGAAAUCAAUAAAAAUAUUUUGGUCGGUUAAAAAAUAUAUUAUAUAUUUUUAAAGUUUUGAAAAGUACUUAAAAUAUUAUUCAUUUGUUUUAUGCCUAUAUGUUCCGCUCAAGUUCUAUUAGAAUUAUAUUCAACUGAAUUUAAUAUGAAUCCUAACCCAACAAAAAGUUUUGAAUCCAACCAAGCCAUGUUUUCUCAUGUUUUUACUUAAAUUUAAUUUAGUUUCCAUUCCAAGUGAUUCAAGGUUGUACUAUGCGGGCUGUUUGUUUUUAUGGAGUUCGGAGGUUGAACUCAUGGUUUCAAAAAAAUCGAUGGCGUCGACAUUUUUCGCUGUGUUGAGAUUCUGAGAUCACCUAAAUUUUCAUUUAGAAUUGUAGAGAGAACUACCUUCCGACUUCGAUGGGAUGGAGAGUGAAAUCAAGUUUGUGAAACCUAUGUAUUUCUUGUUUUUCAACCUUCUGCUUCUGAAGAGCAUGUGAGAUAAUUAAAUUUCGAAUUUAAAAUCUUAAGUACUAAGGGCCUGUUAAGCUUAGCUUCUGAAAAAGUGAUUUCCGAAAAAGUGAUUUUGGUUGGUAGAAGUGAUUUUGGUUAAAAGCUGUAGAGCGUUUGGCUGAGUUUAGAUAAAAGCGAUUUUUCUGAAGUGAGUUUGAAAAGCUAUUUGGCAAAAUUUUUUUAAUAUUUGCAUAAAUUAAUAUUUUUAUUAAAUUUUAUUUUAAAAUAAUUUAAAAUCUAAAUUUAAAUUUGAAUUAAAAUUAAAAAUUUUAAAUUUCAAAAUUGUAAAAAAUUUAAAAAUUUUAUAUUUUAAUUUAAAAAAUAAUUUAAAAUUUUAAAAAUUUAAAAUUUAAAAUAAUUAUGAAAUUUAAAAUUUUAUAUAAUUAAAAAUAUAUAGUUCAAAUAAAAUAAAAUUUAAAUUUAUAUGUAAAUUUGAAAUUUAAAAAAUUAAAUUAAAAAUUAAAAAUUAAAAAUUAAAAAUUUAAAAUUAAAAUUUAAAAAUAUAAAUAAUUAUAAAUUAAAAUAUAAAAUUUAAUAUUUAAAAAAUAUAUUUAAAUUAAAAUUUAAAUUUAAAAUUUAAAAUAAUUAUGAAAUUUAAAUUUCAAAUUAAAUUUAAAAUUAGAAUAUUUAAAUUAAAAUUUAAAAUUUAAAAUUUUAAAAUUUGAUUAUAAUUAAGAUUAAAAAUUAUAAUUAAAAUUUUAAAUUUAAAUUUUUAAAUUAAAUUUAAAAUCUAAAAGUCAACUUUAAAAUUUAUCUUAAAUUUGAAAUUUGAAAUUAAAAUUUAAAAAUUCAAAAAUAAAUCUGAAAAUUAAAUUUUAAAAUUAAAUUUAAAUUUAAAUAUUGAAUUUAAAAUAAAAAUAAAAAUUUGAAGUUUGAGUCCAAAAUCAGAAUCGGAUUUCAAGAAGCAGUUUUUUUCUGCUUCUGAUUCUGGGGCCUUCGAAAUCAGUUUUCUGAUUCUAAAAAAUAAAAUCAGAUUUUAAAAGUGAUGUUGCCAAACGCUCUAUUAAGCCAAAAAUUAUUUUUCAACCAAAAAACGCUUUUUAAAAGUUAAGCCAAACACCCACUAAUUAUUAUGUCUUUUGUCAUUUGUGCUAGAGACGAUAAGUUGUUAUGCUCUUUUUAUUAUUUUUAGAAUAUCAUAAAGAGUGCUGUUGCAAGUAUCUAAAAUACAUCCUGCAAUACUCGUGAUAACAUGUCAAUGUCAUUAUUAUACUUUAAAUAUUAAUUAUUAAACUCUAAAUAUCAUUAUCAAACUGUAACCAACGUUAUUAUUAUAUACCCUAAUUCUAAACCUUAAUUUUUUUCCAUGUGUUAGCCAACACAUCUAUACCACUAUACCUAUAUAUUAUUCUUUCUAAAUUUGUCAUAUGAUAAUAUUUUUUUCAUUAUUGGAUGUGGGCUCCUUUCCGAACCGACUCACGUCCUUCACAUUUUUUUUCUUUUUUUAUUUAAACCGAAUCGAAUUUUUCUCUUUAUUUACUUGAACUGAACUAAUUAUUAUUAAGCGUGAGCUUCUAUGACCCGGCUCAUAUCCUCUACAUAUUUUUCUCUUUUUUUGUUUAAAUCAAACCGAGCUUUUCUUUUUUUUUUUAUUUGAACCGAAUCAGAUCACACUUCUGUAUUGGACUGAACUGUUAUUUUUCCACUUUUUUCAACCGUUACUUUUCUUCAUAGGCAAGAUAAAUCCCACAUCUUGUCCUCACCUUUUUCAUUGCUGUUUUUUUUUUCUUUAUCUAUAUUUUUUAUUUUUUUUAAUUAUUUAUCCGUCACAUCGUAUUGUUCCCAAAGUGUGGGUCCCAAAGCAUUCUCUGUAAUAAAUUAUAUAAAAAAAAAGGACGAAGAAGCGUGGUGCAGUCUUCUUAGCAACUAGCAAGCCUAUUUUUUCCAACCGAGCAGCCGCCAAUCCGACCUGUAAAGCAGCCUGCAUUCACACGGCUUGACCGGCGUAUCAGAUCCAGUCCAGAUACAGAGGUGCAGACCAACGACUUUGAAAUCCAGCCGGUUCGGUCAAGCAGAUAAAACCAAAAUAGUCGACUGGCUUUGUCGGCGUGUGAGAGGGUACCAUUAGUCUUUUUCUAGAAUCAUGAGAGCGAUUUUCAAUCACCACACACAAGUAAAAAAUUGCUUUGGAUUCUCCGAAGAAAAUAAAUUAAUAAAGAAAAAUUUUUAAGUAUCAUUCCUGUAGUUUUGUAUUUUCUCGCUUUAAUACUAUAUGAUUUAAAGUGUAUCACUUUCGUACGUACCCUGUGUUUUUAUUUUUUAUUUUUUUUGUUAUUCCCUCCACUAAUUUUUUUGUUAAUUAAUACGCGACAAAGUUAAAACUAAAAGGUAUUAAAGUAAAUAUUCGAUAAACUAUAGAUAGGAUAUCUGAAGUUUUUUGUAUUUGAUUUAACGAAAAAUUAACGAAUGGGCUGACAAAAAAGAAAAAAAAAUGAAAUAAUAUGAUACUAAAUUAAUACACUUUAAAUCAUAGGAUAUUAAAGUAAAAAAAUAUGAAAUCACGGGAAUGGUACUUGAAGUUUACUUAUAAAUAAAUAAAUAAGUGAAAUGUUGUUUGUACAUCCAACGUAGGGGCGCAAAUUUUAGGGAUUAGGGUUCCUGUUUGAGAAUUUAAAUACUAUUUUUAAAUUUUUAAUAUUAAAAAAGAUUGAUGAGAUUUGUGCGAAAAUAUUGACCUUUAAAUGAAGAAGUUGUCAGAUUUAAUUGAACAAUUUGUUUUGAGUGUANUUAAAUUUUAAAAUCUAAAAUGUCAAAUUUUAAAAUUUAUCUUAAAUUUGAAAUUUGAAAUUUAAAAUUUAAAAUUUUAAAAUCUAAAAUUUGAGAUUUGAAAUUUAAAAUUAAAAUUUAAAAUUUAAAGUUUGAAAUCUAGUUUUCAAAUUUAAAAAUUUAAAAAUUUAAAAAUGAAUUUGAAAAUUAAAUUUUAAAUUUAAAUUUAAAUUUAAAUUUUGAAUUUAAAAUAAAAAUAAAAAUUUGAAGUUUGAGUCCAAAAUCAGAAUCGGAUUUCAAGAAGCAGUUUUUUUCUGCUUCUGAUUCUAGAGCCUUCAAAAUCAAUUUUCUGAUUCUAAAAAAUAAAAUCAGAUUUUAAAAGUGAUGUUGCCAAACGCUCUAUUAAGCCGAAAAUCACUUUUCAACCAAAAAACACUUUUAAAAAGUUAGGCAAACACCCACUAAUUGUUAUGUCUUUUGUCAUUUGUCCUAGAGACGAUAAGUUGUUAUGCUCUUUUUAUUAUUUUUAGAAUAUCAUAAAGAGUGCUGUUGCAAGUAUCUAAAAUACAUCCUGCAAUACUCGUGACAACAUGUCAAUGCCAUUAUUAUACUUUAAAUAUUAAUUAUUAAACUCUAAAUAUCAUUAUCAAACUGUAACUAACGUUAUUAUUAUAUACCCUAAUUCUAAACCUUAAUUUUUUUGCAUGUGUUAGCCAACACAGCUAUACCCUUAUACCUAUAUAUUAUUCUUUCUAAAUUUGCCAUAUGAUAACAUUCUUUUUAUUAUUAGGUGUGGGCUUCUUUCUGAACCGACUCACGGCCUUCAUAUUUUUUUUUUCUUUUUUACUUAAAUCGAAUUAAAUUUUUCUCUUUAUUUGUUUGAACUGAACUAAUUAUUGUUGAGCGUGAGCUUCUCCGACCCGGCUCAUAUCCUCUACAUAUUUUUCUCUUUUUUUGUUUAAAUCAAACCGAGCUUUUCUUAUUUUUUUUGUUUGAACCAAAUCAGAUCACACCUCUGCAUUAGGCUGAACUGUUCCUUUUCCACUUGUUUCAACCGUUAUCUUUCUUCAUAGACAAGAUGAAUCCCACCUCUUGUCAUCACCUUUUUUUUAUCGCUAUUUUUUUUUCUUUAUCUAUAUUUUUUUAUUUUUUUCUAAUUAUUUAUCCGUCACAUCGUAUUGUUCCAAAGUGUGGGUCCCAAAGCAUUCUCUGUAAUAAAUUAUAUAAAAAAAAAAGGACGAAGAAGCGUGGUGCAGUCUUCUUAGCAACUAGCAAGCCUAUUUUUUCCAACCGAGCAGCCGCCAAUCCGACCUGUAAAGCAGCCGGCAUUCACACGGCUUGACCGGCGUAUCAGAUCCAGUCCAGAUACAGAUGUGCAGACCAACGACUUUGAAAUCCAGCCGGUUCGGUCAAGCAGAUAAAACCAAAAUAGUCGACUGGCUUUGUCGGCGUGUGAGAGGGUACCGAUAGUCUUUUUCUAGAAUCAUGAGAGCGAUUUUCAAUCACCACACACAAGGAAAAAAUUGCUUUGGAUUCUCCAAAGAAAAUAAAUAAAUAAAGAAAAAUUUUCAAGUAUCAUUCCUGUAGUUUUGUAUUUUCUCGCUUUAGUACUAUGUGAUUUAAAGUGUAUCACUUUCGUACGUACCUUAUGUUUUUAUUUUUUAUUUUUUUUGUUAUUCCCUCCACUAAUUUUUUUCGUUAAAUACGCGACAAAGUUAAAACUAAAGGGUAUUAAAGUAAAUAUUCGAUAAACUAUAUGUAGAGUAUCUGAAGUUUUUUGUAUUUGAUUUAACGAAAAAUUAAUGAAUGGGCUGACAAAAAGGAAAAAAAAAAAUGAAAUAAUAUGAUACUAAAUUAAUACACUUUAAAUCAUAGGAUGUUAAAGUGAAAAAGUAUGAAAUCACGGAAAUGGUAUUUGAAGUUUACCCAUAAAUAAAUAAAUAAAUGAAAUGUUGUUUGUACAUCCAACGUAGGGGCGCAAAUUUUAGGGAUUAGGGUUCCUGUUUGAGAAUUUAAAUACUAUUCUUAAAUUUUUAAUAUUAAAAAAGAUUGAUGAGAUUUGUGCGAAAAUAUUGACCUUUAAAUGAAGAAGUUGUCAGAUUUAAUUGAACAAUUUGUUUUGAGUGUACAUAUAGUAUUUUUCAAAAUGCAACAUGGUAUCAGAGGAUCGAGGAGACUCUAAGUUCUAGUCCAAUCACACUUAUAACGUUAUUUAAUUUUUUUCAAUUUAAUUUAAGUCCACGUCUUUAGCCCAAAUCUGAAUGAGAGGAUAUUAAAGAUAAAUAAUUAUCAAAAAUAAUAAUUAUUAAAAAUAUCAUUCUUUAAUAACUUAAACUUUUGAAAAAAUGGUUAUUUCAUAUAAUUCAACAUGGUAAUCGAAUCCUUUUAAUAUUAUUAAUUUUCUCUGAUUUAAUUCAAGGCAAUCAUAAUUUAACAGUAGUGCUAUUGAAUAUAAUCUCAAAGUAAUUCUAUUAUGCUGCACAAAAUAGUGAAAAGCCUAAUUAAUCAUGAAUAAUAUAACAAUUUGAAUUGUUAAGGAAAUAGUUCUUAUAUUUUUUGUAGCAUACAUAUAGAUCCACAAUCCAAUGUUAUUUUUGUAUAGAAUAAUUGCAACAGAAAAAACCUAUUUUCCCAUAGGAUCUCCUAUAAUCUACUCUUUAUCAUCAUGUAGCCUACAUUAUAUCACCCUGUCACUUGGUCAAACUAUCAAUACUACUUAUAAAAACAAAUAAGGGCGUGUUUGGUUCGAAGUCGGAAUUGGAAUCGCAAUCGGAAUCAAAAUAAGCUGGAAUCGGAAUCGGAAUGGCUCAUUACCUAAUUCCGUUUGGUUCAUCAUCUGAAUCGGAAUCGGAAUAAAUCAUUCCUAUUGUUGGUGUUUGGUUCAGGUGGAUAUAAAUAAAAAACGUAAUCAAAUUAAUAUACGAACAUUAUCUUUAUAAUAUAUUAAUUUAAAUUCAAAUUAAAUAUUAAAUAUUAAAAAUUUACAUCAAAAUUUUUAAAUAAUAUCAAAUUUUUAAAUCUAUUUUUUUAAAAUAAAUUAAUCUUUGAAGUUGAGUGGAUAAUUCAAAAUAUGAAACUAAAAUUUUAUUUAUUCAAAUUCAAAUUUAAAAUUACAAUUUAAAUUUUAAUUUGAAUCCAUAAAUUUAAUUUAAGUUUGAAAUAAAAUUUGAAUAAACUUCAUAUAAAUUAAAAUUUAAUUUAAAUUCAAAUUCAUAAGUUAGAUUCAAAAUACUUGAUUAAAUUUUAAUUUUUAAUUUAAGUUCAAAUUAAAAUUUAAAAUUAUAUAUUUAAUUUUUAAAAUUUAACUUAUAUUUUAAUUUAAAAAGUUGAAAAAAUAAAUUUAAUCCGAAUAAAUAUCCAUUCCGUCCGGAUUCAACUUUCAAUCCGGCCUCCUAGGCCGGAUUGAAAAAAGGGAUGAUUGAGGCAUUCCCAUUCCACUCGGGAAUCGGAAUCGGAAUGGGACUCCCGCGUACCAAACACCCACAAACGGAUUCACCCAUUCCGAUUCCGAUUCCAUGGUGAAAAAGAGGCGAACCAAACACGCCCUAAAGUUAUAAAAUAAUUAAGUAUAAUUUUUAAGCUAUAUGGGAGAAAAGUAAAAAUCUAUUAAACCGCAAGGGUGCAAAUUGAAAUUUGCCAUACUCUUUACAGGAGAAGUACUACUGAUACAAGGAUGUACAUCUUACGCUCUCUUUAUUCAAGAGUCAAGACCCGUCAUUUUUUUACUUCGAGAAUCCUAAAAUAAGGAGCGUAAGAUAUGCAUGCACCCAUGUUGAGAUGUACAAAUAGAUUUAUUUUCUUUACAGUGUCGAGUGCACCAGCGGUGGUCACCAAACUUAAACUAAAUUUUUAGUUUAGUCCCAAAGCCGAUACCCGCCAUCGUCAAAGUCGUCCUCCACAUUUGCGAUCGACCAUCGCAAACCUUGCGUACGUUGCUUACUAUUUCUUUCGGUGCAUUUGGCACAUUGGCUCCACCUGGGUGAGCCCCAGAUUGACCAUAAGCUAACAGAUCAUGAACGCAGUAUGUAUGAGCGCGAGACUUCGUUGGAGUUGAUGUAACAUAUUUUGUCAAAAUGUAAUCAAAUUUGAACUAAUGGAACCUAAUUGAUUAAAUGAAAAUAAAAAAAAUAAAAUCGUACAUAGUUCAGGUGCCCAGUCUUUUAAAAUUUGGAUUUUACUUUCCAAUCUUUCAAUUUUUUUGAUUUGUGUCAGUGAACAGUAAUUUGACUUAAUUUAAAUGCGUUAUUUAUUUUUACAGACUUAGUUAGUAUAAUUCAUGCAAUUAAUUCUCGCACCUGCAAAUUUAUUAAAAUAAACAAUUAUCUUGAAUUUCAAAGUCAAAAUAUAAUCAAAAAAUUAAGUAAUAAAAUUAAAAUUUUAAACAAAAAUAUUGCUGCAAUUAAUCCUAAGCCACCGUUUGGUUCGGGAUUAAAUAAAAAUUUAUUAUUUCAGGGAUAGAGUUAAGUUCUGGAUUAAGGUGGGGUUAGAGCAAUUUUGUGUUUGGUUGAAAAUUAGGUUUAAUCCAGAUAUAAAUAAAAUAGUGUUUGAUUUUAAUAUAUGGGAUAAGAAGGAUAGUCGGUAAAAUAGUGUUUUGUUUGAUUGGAGUAGUGGGAUGAGGUAGGGUUAGCUAACCCCGCCUCCCAAAUUGAAUGUUUUGAAAUAACUUCGGGAUCAAAGAAUUAUUCCACCCUUAAUUCCGAACCAAACUGGUGCUAAAGAAAAAAUUUAACUACAGAGGCAACUGCUCCAGUUGCGGCCGCCGCGGAGUUGACCGUUGACUCGACCGCGCACAGCCUCGCGCGCACGUGCUCAGAACCCCGGGGCGGUCUUUUGGUGGGCCACCCCUUGUCGGGCCAAUUAGACACGUUCCUCCGCACGUGCGUACGACCUCCUCUUUUCCUCCUCCGCCGAAGUGACGAGUUCCACCACGCCAACGCCUUUUCGUUGCGCGGAGGAGUUAAGAAACCAAGGAGAAGUAAAAAAGGAGCACCAAAAAAAAAAAAAAAGGUCUCUCUCUAUAUAGAAGUCGGAAAUGGAGUUUACAGCGCGGAGGAAGUCGAGUUCCGCAGCCGAAGUCGCGUCGGUGACCGUCACCGCGCGCGUGGGUGGUUUACAUGCGCCGUAAAAGCUCGGAAAACCGGGGGGUCGCAGCUUGGGCUGUCAACGAUCGAGGUCCCAUAAGUGGCCAGAUACGGUGCUGCUCGUUUUCGCUCGUUUAUUAAAUAAUAAAUAAAUAAAUCGAAUGCGAGCUAAUUUGUCGAAUUAUCAAAAUAAAAAAUUUCAGUUUUCGUAGACAGUAAGUUUGAUUGUCAGUUCUGCUGCUACUGAGUGAAAAGUUGAAAAUAAGUUCAAAAAUUAAAAUUUUAAUCUAAUAAUUAAAAUUUCAAAAUAUAGGUAUCUUUUUAUUUAAAUUGGUCUAAAAUUUAAAUAAUAUAUACAUAGAGAGAACUAAGCUAUUAUACUAUUAAUAGAACUAAGCGCUUUGUGCUAUUAGGUUUUCGACCCUUAGAUGAAGAGAUAUAUAUGCGGUUAGGAAGAUAGUGAUUCCCAAUUAGAAUGAUAGUAGUCUCCUAUGAUUGAGUGGGUGGUUGAUUGAAUAGUGUGAUCUAACGGAUAUAAAUGAUCAAAUGAGUAGAUCUAACAGCGAAAAAAUUAAUAGCAAUAAGUCAUUGGUGCUAUUAGGUUUAUUAUUAUACUAUUAAUAGCACCAAGUUAUUGGUGCUAUUAGGUUUUCGACCUUUAGAUGAAAGGAUGUGCAGUUAGGAUGAUAGUGGUUUCCCAAGGUUCAGUGAAUGAUUGGUUGAUCAUCUAACAAGUGAAAAUGGUCAGAGAGGUAAAUCUAAUGGCGAAAACUCGAUAGCACCAAGCGCUUGGUGCUAUUGAUUCUCUCUCUCUCUCUCUCUCUCUCUCUCUCUAUAUAUAUAUAUAUAUUAAGCUCUUAUGCAUUUAAAAGUACCAAGUUAUUCGUGCAUGUACAUUUUUGCCAUUUGGAUUAAGAAAUGUGUGGAUGAUAGUAGUUUUUUAGGGUUGAGUGAGUGAUUAGUUAAAUAGUAUGAUCUAACGGAUAAAAAUGGUCCAAGGGAUACAUCUAACAGCCGAUCGAUGAUGUAAAUAAUAUCGAUUACUAGGUAAAUGAUAUUAAAAAUACUUAUGAUCACUAGAUAAAUGAUGUUGAAAAUCUGCAAAAAUUAUUUUUCAAAUACUUCAAAUACGCUAGAUCAAGUCUAACGGAGCCAAUUGUCAAUUCGAAAGUCCCAUCAUUGAAAGCGGCUUUAUAUCAUCCAGAACACAUGAUAAUUCUCGUGCCUCCAGAGGCAUGAGAANUAUAUAUAUAUAUAUAUAUAUAUAUAUAUAUAUAUAUAUUUGUUCGAGCUAUAUCGAGCCGAAUUUGAGUGAACUGAUUCCUUACCCGUGUUCGGCUCGCUAAGAUUUCGAACUUAAGAAAUUAGCGCAUAGUCGACUUAUUUAUUAAACGAACGAUCGCCCUCAAACUCAUUUCCUGUCGACCAUGAAUUGACUCGCAAACAGCGAGUUGAAUUGCUAGCCCUACUUUGAGACGGCGUAAAUAGCGCAUUCGUCCCUGAACUUUUAGUCAAGUUUUUUAUGUGGUUCUCGAUAUUUUGAAAAAUAUUUUAUAAGAAAUUACUGCCUACAGUUGUUGACAUUCUCAGACGCGCUCCAUCCGUCUCAUACGUCUCAAUAGUUUGAAUUUUAAGCAUGAAAAAGGUUGCAACUCUGUGGAUAAUAGGAUUGCAACAUGAUACCCUAAAUUCUAGAGAGAAUAAAUGCGCGGUGUGUGUCACUGCAACUGCUUUAAUUUUUUGGCAUUUUAUUUUUCUGCAUCAGUAAAUAAAAGAUGAAAACUAAAGAAAAAUAUAUUCUUUCACCAGAUUAUAUUUGUAAAUUGUAUUUUGUUAUAAGUUCUAGCUAAAAUUUUCUACACUUUUAUAUAUAAUCAAGUCACUCAGUACAGUAUAGUUGACUUAAAAGUGGCGUAUACAUAACUGUAAUAUGGUAGUGUUAGAAUUGAUCAUGUAGCAUUGUGUGAACUGCAGGGCAUGUCACUGUCGCAUCAACUACACAUCAUCAUUAUUCAACAAGCUAAAUUGGAAUGCGAGACUAAAUUGCUUAUAACAUUCUUGAAAAUUGAGCCAAUAAUUAUAAUAAAUUAAAGUUUGAGAAUCAAAGUGUCUUAGCGUCUUUGUUUCAUAGCUUGUCGAUGAAAAUAGUAAUUCAACUCUAUAUAUUUAUAAGAGUUAUAGGAUAUCAAAGUUUGAGAACUGAAAGUGAAACUUAGACCGAAGUUUGGGGACGGGUAGUACAAUUUAUCCAUUUGAGAAAUGAGAAUAAACAACUGACCGUCUCUAGCGCGCAAGUGGCAAAGAACUUGGUGGUUGGUAUCCGAGGUCCCAAAUUCGAAUCCUAGUUGAUUCACAUUUCUAGCUAAGCUUAUUUCUAAAUGAAAUAAACGAAGCGGGUAGCAUGCUAUCUAUCUCUCAUUAAAAAAAAAAAGAAAAAAGAAAUGAGAAUAAACUUUUCAAACUUCAGGGAUGGAGAAAUUGGGAGCACUUGAGAUCCAGAGACUCAUAAGCUUGAAUCAAGUUUGAAUAUUUCCUACAGCCUCCAUCUUAUCUGAAUUUUUUUAAAGAUUAUAUAAUCAAGUCCCUUGAUAUUGACUUGGCCUUUUAUAAACUUACACAAAGCACUUUUGUUUGCAAUCACAUAUAUAUAUAUAUAUAUAUAUACUUGACAUUUUCCUGGGGAACAUUAAACUCUGGGCUGGUAUAACUAAACUCAAAUUGGUAUAUAUCCUUCCAAUUAGGAUACAUAAAUAUCUUUGACUCUGUCUAUUCCGUGCAACCGUCGUAAUUUAUUUAUUAGUAUAACUCUUGAUUGACCAGCUCAUGAAAUUUGCAUGAAAAGUCACCAACUGUUAGAUCGGUUAUUGAGUGUUUUGCAUUAGAAACGAUUGAGUUAUUACAGAAACUACUAUUGCCCCACGACUCAAACAUGCUGACCUACUUUCACUAAUAAGCGAAAAAUCUAACAUGAGAAAUGAAUGAGUCUAUUUAUGCGUUUUUAUUAAUAGAGAGCACUUGAUUGACCAGAUCGUGAAACCUGCAUAAGAAGUCUCCAUUUGCUAGCUAGGUCGGCUAUUAGAUAUCUUAGAUUAAAAUUCAUUAGAGAAAUGAAACUAAUAUACUAUAUAUUGCACUACAACUCAAAUAGAGUGACCUACUUUCACCAAAAAGCGAAAAAUCUAACAUAAGAAAUGUAUGAUUCUAUUUGUGCCUUAACAUCUUAAGCUUAUUUUUAGACCAAGCUUGUAAUUCCUAAUAUUAUAUUUGGUUAGGACGGAAUUCAACUUCAACAUUAGAAGAAAAACAAGCAACAUGACCAAUGAGGAGAAGGAAAUCUAAGUUGAAUACAUGUAGCACAAGUACAAGUUUGAUCCUACCUCUAUUUUUAAAACUCCCAAGUUCAUUGAAUGGAUAGGGGGGGAGGUUGGUUAGCAUUUCCAUAUGUUUUCCACUUUAAACUAGUAUGCAAUUUUAGAAUAAUUUUUACCUGAGUAGGUAAACUAGUGAUCAAAACAGUAUCAUCUAACUGUAGAUCUCUUAAAUUAUAUGGAAGCACAUACGGACUUGAAAUUUUUUAAUAGAGCCAUAACGUGAACUUGAAUUAAAAGGGCGAAAAUCGAUAACGCUAUAAGCCUGACGUGAAACCUCCUACUUUGAUAUUAUAUUAAAUUAUAUAAAAUAACCGUCAUUCUCCAAAAAAAUUAAGUUAUCAGUAUUUUUAAUACUUAUAUCUAUAUUUAGAGUUAAUUUUAAAUCUUUUGUUUUGUGAGGUCGUAAGUGAGUUUAAUCCCCAUCUUUGACAUUUAACGGGUCCCAACCUUCUGGACUCAUUUUUUAUUAAAUCGAUUUUUUUGGUAACAAAAUCAAACUUAUAUAUUUCUGGAUCUGUUUAAUUUCUACUAAAUCGAUUCUUUGGAUAACGAGAUCAAACAAAUGACAAUAAAUUCCUCUUAAACAGUAACUGUGAAAAUCUGAAGGUAUUCUGAAAACCUUAUUAUAUAUCCUGCAGUAAAUAGCCACUAAUUUCAUUCAAAGUACCCAAAAGCAAUCUCGAAUCAAAGAGAUGUGAGCAAUGAUUUUAGAAUCUAAAAUGAUUCUUGGAGUUUAUACUGAAUAUAGAUAAAGAACUAAUUAAGUACAGGAUAAAGAACUUAAGUAUAGGAUCUUCUCUAACACUAAAGUCCCUGUAUAUCAUAGUCAAUAUUAAUUGCAGCAUAUAUAUAUAUAUCAGGGUUUGAGUCCCCAUUAUCAGGCCAGUAAUGUUGUACCUGCAGUAAACCAAAACUAAUUGCUAAGAAACCGAAUAAACUCUAAUGGUAUGGUUUUGAUCUCGAAUUAAAACCACACAUGUUAUGCUAAUCCAUUUGCUCAAAUUCAUGUUUUUCCACAUUAAUUAUACCCAUUUGAUACAUGUAAUUAAUAGAGCAUUAAAUUCUAAUGAAUUCUUCUUAUGAGAACACCGAACACUUCACCAGUUUUGCUUCUUUGUGACAUCUUCAAUAGCUCCACUAGAAAAACCUUUUUUUUUUUUAAUAGCUUAAAUCAUAUCCAAUGAAAUGUUUAUAAUUCAAAAGGGGCUCUCCCUACUAUCUCAAACUCAGCAAUUAAGAAAUCAAACACAUUAUUUCCUCCUCAGGAAACCAAAUUUUAUAUCUUUGGUGCUAACAUAACAUAUAUACAUACAAUUAAUUUAGCCAUCUCUUCAUCACAUUGGAAGAGCAUAGCCAACCCAAAACAAAUGAUGGGAAUCGGAAAAAAGGAAAAUUAAUAGAAAGAAAAUGGAAAAAAAAAAGAAGCACAAGCUCCUCUAAAUAUUCCUAGUUAAGGAGGAGGAGGGGACAGCUGAAGAAUCCUCCCCGAAAUCGCCGUCGCGAGCGCGGCCUUAAACCCGGGAUCCUUCGUCAACGACAGCGCCAUUUGCUCGACCAAGCUCUUAUUGAUCUCCUGCAUCUCCUUCUCCUUCCUCGGCUCCGGUCGGACGAGAUCGAGCGCAGCGUUAUUCGAGCCAUUCGAGCCGACGACUGCACCGCUGUGGCCGCGAACCGAGCCGUUGCUGUGCCCUUCGUGCGGCGGAGCGGGGCGGCCGUGGUUGUGCUCGCCUUCGUACGUCGCGACUAAGAUCGACGUGUCCUCCGCGCUUCUUUGCACCUGAUUAUAUUGCACAGAUGAGCGUUCGGUUAGAUGCAAUCAUUAUAUUUCCUUGUUCCUUCAAGCACAACAUAAAAGACAAUCAGUUUCGAUAUCCAUUUAUCCUUACUUUCUUCUUAACUUGGCAAGACGGGGCGAACGAGCAUCUAAAAUAAGCUCUUGGGCACGGAUUAUCUCUCGUCACCUUUUGCCCGUAUUUUCUCCACUGGUACCCAUCUUUCACGACCUAAAUACAAUAACAGCAUUAGUGACUGAGCUUGUAGAUCAUGCAAAACUUUCAGAUAGGCGGAAAAAUUGGAAAAAAAAAAAAAAAUACAAAGUAAGGAAUUGAAACUCACAAGGCUUAAAUCCGAAGGAUCGGUGCGGACGUAGACCUUCGCGAUCUUCGGCUUGCACUCCUCCCUUAUUCGCUUGCACGAGUCUUCGCUGGAGGUGCACUCCAUUUGAUUCGCGACGUAGUUCAUCGUCGUCGUCGUCGCGGGGGGGUUUGUCGCGGCCUCGACCUUCCUCUUCCUCGACGGCGAGACCGACCCUCCGUCGGAGGAGGAGGUGGCCAUCAAAUCAUGCAGCUGGCUCUGCAGCGUCGCGUACUUCGCGACCACGGUCGCGAGCAUUUCGUUGAGCCUCUUGUUCUCUUCGCUCACCCGAUUCAGCUCCGCCUCGAGAGCUCCGAUCUAAUAUAUACAUAUCAGAUAAUUAGAACAACAUAUCUAACUAAUUAAGCAUGCUCGCGAAGAAGAAAGGAGCUUAAUUAAUUACAUAUUUACAUGUACCUCUUCAUCUUUCAUCACCAAGAACUUGUCCUCCACCACAUGCUUGGGAUUAUUUGAGAGCACCCCUUUCUGAUGACAUCAAUAACAAACAAAAAAGGAAAAAAUUAAUCAAUCAAUCCAUCAAUAAAAUUGAUUCUCCUCUUCUUUAACUACUCGGUUGCUCAAAAUGGAUCAUGAGCAUGGAUUUCUCGAACUCACCGAGAAGCCGACGUUGAGAUCGAGAUCGAGCGACGAAUGGUUAAUCCAUGCCGAACCCAUAACCAGCGGGGGCGAAUUCAAAUUAAGUUGGAUAUCUAUUAAUUUGAAAAGAAGGAGAAGGAGAAGGAGAAGAAGAAGAAGAAGAAGAGAAGAGUUUGAGAGAAGGAGAGAGUAUAUUGGGGGUGUAUAUAUAGAGCCCAAUUGAGAGAAGNAAGGGGGGAAAGGGUAAGAGAUGGAAAACUGUGACACAUGCAUCAUCCUGGAAACGUCAGGAAAUCACUGUCACAAGCAAAAGAAAAAGAAAAGAAAAGAAAAUAAAAUAAAGUGGUUUUUUUAAGAAGCGAAAAAAAAAAGGGGGGGAGGGGGGAUAGGUAUGGGGAUGGUGCCAUGUCGGUCACCACACGGAAGUCGUAGUAUUGGAGAGUUCGAGUCAAGAUAAAACACUGCACCCAAAAAAAGAAAAAAGAAACAAAAAAAAAAAGAAAAAAAAAAGAAGAAAGAAAAGAGAGAGAGAGAAUAGAAGAAAGAUCGAUGAUGCCAAGGAGGAAAAAGACAGGCUGGAGGUGGGGGCCGGGGGGAGGACUAUGGAGGAAGGAGGGAAGACUUCUUGACUUUGUUCUCUUUUGGGAUUUCUGGAAAACUAAAGUAUAUUCCUCCUCCUGCUGGCUUGUUUUUCUGUCCUUCGGUGCCGCCCAAUAAUUUUAUUAUUAUUAUUAUUAUUAUUAAAUAAGUUAAAUCUUAAAAAAAUAAUUAAAUUUAAUAAAAUUUUAAAGUGCUACAAGUGAAAUCAGCUUUGCUAGCCUACUCGUUCCAUCGAAGGUCAAGUUGAGAUUGAAAUUAAAUACUAUAUAUUAAGAAAACUUUAAAUACUAUUUCUAUAGUUUCGCACUUUUCUAUUUAAGUACCUAAUAGUUUAAAAUGUAUCAAUUUAGUAUCUCAUGAUUUUAUUUUAUUUUUUUUAUUAUCCGCUUUACUAAUUAUUUUUUCGUUAAAUCAAUGACAAAGAUAAAACUGAAAGUAUAAAAGUGAAUAUUCGAUAAAUCUACGUGGGUAUCUGAAGUUUUUUUAAAAAAUUGAAACUAUUUGGUUGCUUUCACAUGCUCUCUUAUUCCAACGCUACAAACUGGUGAUGAAAAAUACCACUGAAAACAUAUUGGAUCAAAAAGGAUCGAAAUAUACAGAUUUGGCAAGGUCAGGUAUAUAUACUCAAAACUUACUUAUUCUUUUAUUAAGGAUCAUAUGUGAAAACUUGCUUUUAAUACGGUAGAAAAAUAACCGAUCAUCCCUAGCGCAAGUAAUAAAGGAUUUGAUGAUUGGUACCCGAUAUUUCAAGUUUGAAAUUCAGUUACUUAACAUUUCCAGAUAAGUUUAUUUUUUAAAAAAAUAAACGAAACAGAUAAUUAACGUGUUAUUUUUCCCUCAAAAAAAAAAAGUUACAGAUCUUUAAUAUAUGACAAUUAUGUUUUUUUUUUUUUUUGAAAAAUAGGUAGUAAGCUACCUGCUUCAUUCAUUAAGUAACAUAAAUUUAGCAUACAAAUUGGAAGCAGCUAGGGCCUCUGAACUGAGGAAACGAGAGAAAAACAAGAGAACAAAAAUCAGAUCCGUGCGACUCAGGAAACAAGUGAAAUCCAAACUAAACAAAAAUAGAAAAACAAAGGGCAAAGCGCAGAGCUCGGGAGAGAAUCAAAGUGCUUCGUUCCAGGAGUGAGCAACACAAUACAAUAAGUUUGGAAUAUUUGCAAUUGGAGCUGUCAAACUUGCCCCUCACUCAAAGCAUUGAUUGGUUCCAAAAAAAAAAAAACAAUUGAAAAAAUAAAAAAUAAAAAAGUGGUGGGGCUCCAAAACACACAGCAAACACGUUUAGAUCUAAAACAACUAAAAUAAGAAAAAUUUAAUAUUACAAAUGAGUAGGCGUUACGUGUUGACCAAGUGCUAAUUUAAAUAUAGGGUUGUUUAAUAAGUUUUUAAUUUUAAUAAUAUUACUAAACAAGAAUUCCGUUCUUACCCAAUUUUAUCUAUUUUACGGAGUUGCAAAGUGGAUAAAUAUUGAGAUGCGCGUACAAUGUGACGUACCAGCUCAUUUAUCUCAAAUUUUUUAAUCUAUUUGUAACAAUGGUAAAUUGCAGUGGAUAAAUUGGUUCAAUUUUUAAUGUAAAAGGUUAAGUAAAACAUGCCCAUAGUGUAAGAGGGACUUCAUAAAUCUCAACUACUAAAGAAUAUUAAUAAAAUUUCUAACAACAAUUUCAUAGCUUUUUUUCUAAUUUAUUUCUUUACAACUUUGAGAGGAUAAACACGAUAAGAUUGUUGGAGUCAAAUCUUUUACGACUUAGUGAGCAGACAAUUCCUGUAUAUUGCUGGCGCGAUCAUUUUUUUUAAAAAAUACUUCAUCUUUUACCUAAUCGAAAGUUAACUUUUUUGACUUUUUUGGGAGAAGGUAUAAUUAACUUUUUCAAGAAGUUGCCCCAAAACCUAAUUAAGAAAGAACUUUUGUGCAAUGGAAAUGUUUAGUGCGUUCACAACGUGGCAAAUUAGACCUAUGGGACCAGCUAUGAGCCUAUGACCUUAAAGUCACAGUGAAUGCAUUUCAAAUCAACAAUUUAAGUCUCUCUCUCUCUCUCUCUCUCUCUCUCUCUCUAGAUAAUGCAAGAGCUACAGCAUUAUAAUUUAUUUACUAAAUAAACGAUGUUUAAAAAAAUUAAAAUUUUAUUUCUAAAAACUUCAUAUACCCUAAAUCAUAUUUAACGGUAUAUAUAUAGAAUUAGGCUACUAUACUAUCUAUAGUAUCGGAGCUCCGGUAUUAUAGUCUUAUUUUCGAUUUUAGGGUGUUCAAAUUAACGAUCCACACUGUUAAAUAUGAUUUAGGGUAUAUGAAGUUCUUAGAAAUUUUAGUUUUUUUCGACAUCGUUUACUUAGUAAAUAAAAAUUGUCAAAAUGGACGGUAGAAAUUGAAUAAUCUUUAAAAUUUGAGUAUAGGACUUUUAAAUUCAAGAUCAAGAAUGUUAAUCUUAAUCUAAAUAGUUUAAAGUAUUUUCUAUCAAAAUUUGAAGAAAUUUAAAUUCUUCUACACCGUUAAACUUCAAACUCGUCAUAGUAGCCAUUGAAAAUUGAUAAUUUUGAAAUGAUUUGAUCAUAAAGCUAAUUAUGUCGAAAAAAUAUAAAAUUUUAUUUUUAAAAAUUUUAAAUACUCUAGAUCAGUUUUAACGGUGUGGAUCGCUGAUUUGAAUACCCUAAAAUAAAAAACGAGACUAUAGUAUCGGAACCCCGGUACUAUAGAUAGUAUAGGAGACUAGCUCUCUCUCUCUCUCUCUCUCUAUAUAUAUAUAUAUAUAACAAAAUAAUCCGUGACAUAUAUGAUUCGUACAUAUAUGAUUCGUAUCAUCCAAACGAUGGAUACCAAACUUUUUAUCCAAUUAAUAUUCCUCAUUGCCUAAGGUAACGUACUAUAUUGUGGAAAUUUGAUGUAUGGGAAUUUCUAUGACAACAAAAAAUUUCUCUUUAGUCUUAUAGCAAGUUAAUUAAAAGGUAAAAGUAAAUAGAUACUUAAAUUUUUAAUUUUAGCAAUCAAUUCUAAAUUUCAUCUAAGUAGUUCAAUAAGCUCUCUUCUAAAAUAAAUUUACUAAUUAUAUAGCCAUUUUGAUUGAUGUUGUAAAUAUAAUUCUAUUUAAGAUUUCAAAAAAUAUAUAUUUUUUCCUUCUAUGUUUGAUAGUUAAUAUUCAUGACAGUGCAAAAAUAGGUUACAACAAACUUCAAGUUAUAUUUCUUUUUUUUUUUUACAUGUUUGAAUACAAAAAAAAAUUUUGUUGUGUUUUAAAGCUAUUUUAUGCAAUACAUACAACUAAAAUAAUUAUGUGAUUAAUAAUUUUAAUUAAAGAAAAAAAUUUAUUGAACUAUUUAAUAAAAUCUCAACAGCUAACUACCAAAAUUAAAAAUUUAAAUGACUGUUUACAGAAAAGCUAAAGUUCAUGAGGCCUUUAUACAUUUUUUUUUCCUUAAUUAAAAGCGAUAGUUAUUUUCAAUUCAAAUCAAUAAUUAAAUCAUGAAAUUGAUCCUAAAAUAUAUAUAUAUAUAUAUAUAUAUAUAAAUAUAUAGAUAUACAUAAUAGAGAUGGUCCCAAUGCAUGGGAUUGUUUUAUUCACCGUUGAGACAAAUUUGAAAUUCGUGUUGUGCGAGCGAUGGAUACCAAUAUUUUUUUGAUCAUUAAUUAUUGCCUAAAUGAAAAGUACUUCAUUGCGAAAAUUUGUACAUAUAGUAUUGAAAAAAGUGUAGAUCGAACUCGCUAAUCAAAUUUUGUGCGUUUUUGUGUAUCCCGUGUGUUUUUUACACAUAAACGUCGUACCCACUAGGAUAUUUUGUUCAUUUUUGUGCAAAUUAUAGAAUAUUUUGUUCAUUUUUGUACAAAUUAGGUGCCUCAGUGAGUGUACAAAAGCUCAGGGGCAGUGUUUGAAUUGGAAAUGAUAAAUUGUACCUUUGCUCCUCAAACUACAAGACGCAAUAUUUUGGUCAUUAAAUUUUAAUUUAUUAUAACUUUUAUCUUAUAUUUUCAUUCUAUAAUAUAAUUUAAUUUAGUUCACUAUAUAUUGAUAUAUCGUCCCUAAGAAAAUAUUCUAAAUUUGUGAUUGGUAAUGCAUCAAAAAUUAAAAUGGCAUAACACUUCUACAUCAGCAAUGUAUCAGUAUUUAGUCAACUAAACUGGAUUGUAAAACUUGAUUGUAAUAAUUCUGAAAGUUUAUAACAAAAAUUAAAAUAAGUUAAAAUUUAUUGUGCAAAAUAUCGCCCUAGUCUCAAAGUUUGAGACUAUAUUUGUACUCAAUUUACCUAAUUGGAAACAAAAACAAAGGGCUUAGUUCAACAAAUGGCCUAGCUGAAUUAAGUUAUCGUACGACGAAUCUAAAAUUUUCUUCAUCUCCUUACUGCUACGAAAGAUCGCUGUAAACCACGCUAUACAUGCAUUUUUCACUAGUGUGAAAGGUGCCAAUUAACUAUUCUAUACAGCGGUGCUAAUUCAGUGCAUUUUUUUGUCAUUCAAAUUAUUUAAUGAAAAAGUUAUAGCCAUUGCUCGGAUGCUCAAAGGAUUAAUUGUCUUAUUUUUGCUUAAAUUAACUAAAAUCAAUGAAAUCAACUAAUAAGUGGUAAUGAUAUGUACAAUGUGAUACAUUACUUAGGGUCAAAAUAGGCUGUUUAUAUCAUUUUAUAUUAUAUAAAAGAUAUAAAGGAUGUAACUCUCAUUAGGGUUUUCAAUUUAAGCAAUAACAUGUCUACCCAUCUUAAUAUACCUCUUCACUUAGUUUUUUUAGCAAAACAAUUAAUCCAUUGCAUAACCACGAGCCCAUUGUUUUUUCCUAAUUUAAGUAGCUAUUUUUUAGUGGCUUGUUGCUUGAUCUAUAAUAAGUUCUAUAUAAUAAUCAUGUGAACCAUGUGGGAAACAUGGCUUCUUAAAUUCAUCAUAUUUUAGUUAGAGUUGUUAUGAUUCAUCGUUAUCGGAUAAAGUAUUAUGCUUGUGUCUAUCUUCUAUAGUACUAUAUUAAAGGAAAGUUAGGUCACAUCAGGGAACAAACAAACGAACGACACGUAUCCCUCCAUCUCUCCCUACUCUACUUCAACAAAAUUGCAUGCACACCGACCGUCCCUAAAGCAAGUGGCAAAGGAAUGGAUGGCUGGUACCAUAGUUAGUUAAUUCGGAUUCGACAAAAAUUCGGUAUGGGUAUAAUAUGCAUAAAAUUCGUUUUCUAAUUUUUAAAUUCGUUGAAAAAUUCGGCUUAAAACAUAGAUUCGGUAUAAAAUAUAAAAUAUAAGAUAUAAAAUAUAAGAUAAUCUAUAUUUAAAUAUAAAAAUUAUAUGUUUUUAUUCAUAUUUUCAAUAAUUCGGAAAUAAUUCGCGAGUAAUUCGCGAAUUGUUCGGCUGGCCAAAAAAUUCGCGAAUAUUUCUCUAUCUUUGGAAAAAAUUCGUAAACGGACCGUUUAAUUCGGAUUUUUAAUAAUUCGCGAAUAAUUCGCGGAUUAACUAACAUAGGUUGGUACCCGAGACCCAAAUUCGAAUUCUAGUUGAUUCACAUUUCCAGCUAAGUUUAUUUCUAAAUGAAAUAAACGAAACAGUAGCGCACUAUUUAUCUCUCUAAAAAAAAAAAAAAAUUACAUGCGCACCGGAUCUAUUAAAAUAUCAAAUGCACCAAAUCUUUUUUAUACACCUGAAAUAGUAUUCUCCCCUUUAUUGUGGGUAAAGAUAUACAUAUAUCCCGCAACUAUAAUUUUUUUCAAGUGAGAUCCACUCAAAUUAUAAUUACUUUUUUAAUUUUAAUUUUUAUACUUAGUUCAAUUAAAUUACCAAAGAUAAUUAAAAUUAUUGAAUAGGAUGAAAUUACUAAUGAAUUAAUUAAAGUGACCAUUGAUGAUUGAAAUUAUUAAAUUUGACAAAAUUACUAAUUAAUUUGAUAAAAUUACUGAAACACAAAAACUAAAAGUUUAGAAAAUCUCUAUACAUUUUCACUAAAAAGAAAAUUGACAAAAAAUUUGNAAUGGACCCCUGAAAUUUAUUUAUUUUUAAUUAGGUUUUUGUAAUUUUUGAAUUUCUAUGAAUUAAUUUUAAUUAACUAAACAAAAUGAGUCUCUAAGAAGUUGUAACUUAGUCUCAAAUAAUUUAAAUAGGAUGGAUAACUUAGUCUCAAACUGUAUAAUUUAUUCCUUUUUUUUUUCCCUACUAUUUGACUUUUACUGCAACGACGGCCACAACGCAUUAUGGUCUUCUCAUGAAAAGAAAAUUAUAUAUAUAUAUAUAUAUAUAUAUAUAUAUAUAUAUAUAUAUUGUGAAGCAUCCUUUUCUGCUAUCAUGCCCCUGCUUCGCCUCUGUCGCUGGCACCGCCCUCGCCCUAACGCGCUCUCCCUCUCUAUCAUUCCCAAAUGUUGCGGCAUACUCGUCACCGUAACCGUCACCAGCAUUGGUGAAGGUAUUAACAAGGUAGGAGAAAGUUGUGCAGCACCGUCGUGGGGCCGGUAGAGAAGGAGGGAGAGGAAACAGAGAAAAAAAGAAAAAGGGAGGAAGAAAAGACGAGGAUGAGGGAGAAAAACAAAUAAGAAUAAAAAAAAAUUAGAAAAAGAAUUAAAGAUAUUUUAAUCAGUAUACUAAAAAUUCAAAUCUACUUUGUAAAGUAUAAAAAAUAAUUUAUUUUUACAAAAAAUCUAAAAUUAGUGAAUUUUGCUAAUUUCCACUCCCUCAGUACUUAAUCCUACUUUAUUUUUUGAAAACCUUCAAAUACCACCUCCGUGGUUUUGCCUCUUUUUAUUUUAGUACCAUAUAGUUUAAAUGUAUCAGUUGAGUACUCCGUAGUUUUAUUUUUCUCUUUUUAUUAUUACAUUCACUAAUUUUUUUCGUUAAAUCAGCAACAAAGUUAAAACUAAAAGGUGCUAAAGUAAUAUUCGAUAAACAUAGAUAGGGUAUCUGAAGUUUUUGCUAUAUAAUUUAACGAAAUGUUAAUGGAGGAGUUGGCUAAAAGGAAAAAAUAAAACGACAGAAUAAUAAAUUAAUACAUUUUAAAUUAUAAAGUACUACAAUAGAAAACUACAAAACUACAGGGGCGUAUUUGAAAUUUACCCUUUAUUUUUCGUGUAAUUUACUCUUGGUAGCAAGCACGUGACACACACGGCGAAUUGCCAUCAAAUGGGGACGCGCCACGUGGCCAGCAAAAGGCGGCGCGUGGAGGUCACCGUCCGUUGAAAUCGCGACGUUCUCCGUUGACCCGUGCUAUAAUGAGGACACAGGAAAGUAGUGAUAGUGACAAAUACGGUGUGGCCACGUGUCAAACACGGCGUUCUUUAAUUCAAGGACUAAACGGUCAACUUUCUCCCACGUGGGAAGAAACGGAUAAUUCGACCUCAUUACUAACCUAAUCCUCGCUAAUUAAAAUCCAACCUAAUCCUAUUAAUUAGCUUUAGAGCUAGUUUAGCUUAAUUUGGUUGUGGAUAUAUAUAUAUAUAUAUAUAUAUAUAUAUAUAUAUAUAUAUUUGGUAAAAUUCAAAUACUAUCGCUGUGAUUUCACACUUUCUCACUUUAGUACCUUGUGUUUUAAAGUGUAUUAAGUUUGUAUCCUAUGGUUUCAUUAUUAUCUUUUCGUCAGCUUCUCCGUUAAUAUUUCGUUAAAUUACAUACUAAAAUUUCAGAUACCCACCUAAGUUUAUCGAAUAUGUACUUUAGCGCCCUUUAGUUUUUAAUUUUGUCACUGAUUUAAUAAAAAAAUUAAUAAAAUCGAUAAUAAAAAGAUAAAAAUAAAACCACGAGGCACUAAAUUAAUAUACUUUAAACCACAGGAUAUUAAAGUAAGAAAAUAUGAAACCACAAGGGUGGUACUUGAAGUUUUUUUUUUUUUAUAAUUAAAGCCUAUUUUGGCUCUCAACUUCUGCUUCUAUUUUUAGCAGCAACAAUUUCUACGAAAGUGUUUGUUAAGGGCAAAAAAAAAAGAAAUUUUUUGUCAUUUUAGGUACAACAAAAAGGUGAUCAUACGAAACUUACAUGUUGAGUUUUAGAAACAGUAGCUCUAACAUAUUAUUAUUUCUCAUUCUAUUAGCUAGGAAAAAAUAAAACUAUUUGAAAAAUUAGUAAUUAAAAACAUAUAUGCAGUAAUUCCAACUCACAAGCAAAAUUAUUACGCCAUAAACUCUGAUCAUAAAAUAAUAUCGAUCAUAACGUAUAAACUAUGAAGCGCACAUCAGGUAUUUCUCAACUAAACAGUAAACAAAUUUUCGAAUGUGAUAGUCAAAUAUUCUUUAUUGAAUAUAUUAUUGUUGAAAACAGAAGCGGAACCGAAGAAUCAAAGAAGCGACUGAGGUUGAUUUGUUGAGAACACACUAAAUUCCAAACGCGAGUGAUCCAUGCGUGAGGAGGCAUAUUAGAAAAUCGAGGAACACGACGAGAUACUGAAAGUGGGUGGUUCAUUUAUUCUCUUGUGCCGAUUUAGUUGAAAAGUCUGCUAAAAUCUUUACUUUCUUUCUCUUUCUACUUUUCGGCGGCUCCGGGUAGUUGGAAUUAUACUUCUCCACCUUCUUCUUUUUCUCUUUUUAAUUUGUCACAAUACACCGACCGCCCGUGGCUAAAGCAAGUGGUAAAAAAUUUGAUGGUUGGUAGUUGGUUCAGUGGGUAGUUGGUUGAAUUGUAUGAUCUAAAAGGUGAAGAUGAUCAAAGACGUAUAUAAAAAAUUACAAGCACAAAAUACUUGGUGCUUUUACAAGCACCAUAGCCGGACUCUCUCUCUCUCUCUCUCUCUAUAUAUAUAUAUAACCGGACUCUCUCUCUCUCACUCUCUCUCUCUCUCUAUAUAUAUAUAUAGAGAGAGAGGCUAGUAUACUAUCGGUAAUACGGAGGCCUUCGUACUACCAAAUUAUUUUCAAUAAUGCGGCUUUCAAAUCGACGAUCGGUUCUGUUAAACUUGAUAUACACUAUUAAAAGUAUUUGGAAACUAAAUUUUAUAAUUUUUCGACAUUAUUUGGCUAAUGAUCAAAAGGUCUCAAAAUUGACAAUUUUAAUGGUUGAUGUGAUGCGUUUGUGAUUUAACGUUGUAAAACAAUUCAAAUCUUAUGAAAUUUUUAUAAAAACUUCUUUUCACUAUUUAGAGUAAGAUCAGUACAUUUGAUUUUAAAUUUAAAUUUAUUAUCAUUAUUUUUUAUGAGAUUUUUAUUUUCAGCUGUUCAUUUUUAAACUAUUCAUUUUAUAGGUAAAUAAAUAAUGUCGAAAAAUUAUGAAAUUUAGUUUUCAAAUAAUUUCAAUAGUGUAGAUCAAGUCUAACGGAGCUGAUCGUCUGCUCUCUCUCUCUCUCUCUCUCUCUCUCUCUCUCUCUCUCUCUCUCUCUAUAUAUAUAUAUAUAUAUAAAUCUAUACUAUAUAUAAAAGUGUAUAGAAAUGAUAGUCGGAAUUAAAAAAGAAUAAAAAAUAUUUCCUAUGAACUGUUAUGAUCAAUUUAUUAAAAAAUAUCUUAAAUAAGAACGAAUGGUUAUGAUCAAUUCAUUAAAAAAAAACAUUCAUAACCAUCUAUAACUUCAAUUCUACGAACAGGCAUAAUUAUUUUGUUAAAAAUAUUUAAAAUAUAAAUGAACGUUUAUGAUCAAUAUGUUAAAAAAUAGCAUUUCUAUUCAUCUAUUUUAUAUUAAAAUUUAAAUUUGAGUUUAAAACACGAAUUAAAUUUAUUUUUUGAUAUCAAAUUUGAAUUAACAAUUAAAAUUUUUUAAUUAUAUAAUAGAUCAAAAUUAAAGUUUACAUUUUGAAAUAAAUGUCAAUUUAAUUUUGAUGCUUUUAGUUUAAAACACAUAUUUAUAUUUUAGAUUUAUUAGAAAUCGAAAAAUAUAUAAAAUUUUUUAAUAUAUAUAUAUAAAAAGAAUAAUAUAGAAUAUUACAAAUAUUUUCUAGUAAAAUAUAAUACAUAAAUUUAUAAAUUAUAAUUUUUACUGUGAAUUUUUAAAUAAAUAUAAUGUACAAAUUCAUAUUGAUUUAAAGUAAAUUGAAAUAAUCGUUACGUGCAGUUACACGUACACUAAACUAAACUAGUAUAUAUAUACAUACAUGUACAUAUUAAUGUAGAGUCACAUCACACUAACGAAUUAGUUCCUUGAAAAGGUGUUGAUAAAAAGUAUUUAAUUUCACAAUUUUUAAUAUUCAGAUAAAAAUUAAAAUAAUAGAAAUAUUAUUUCUUUUAUAAAUUUUCUUAGAAAAGAUUAAAACAUAUUUCUACCGAAAUUAAAGAGAUGAAAAAUAUAUAUAUUCUGGUCACGAAACUAUUUUUUAAUGAUAAAAGCAUAUAAAACUUACCCAAACUUAAUUGAGACCAUUUUGAGUUGUCAACAGCAUUUUGACCGCAAAAUUUAUAUGUGUCAUUUAGUAUUACAGGGUUAGCUGAUAUACUUUAUAUAAUUCUCACAACUAUAUAUUUAAUAAAGUAAGUGAUUAUCUUACUUUAUUUAAAAAAGUAAGUAAUUUUCAAAGGGGCAAUUGCUUAUAUUUUUCUGAAAUGUUUCUGACUUUCUUAUUUACCAUUCUUAGAACGGUAAUAGUAUGUCCCUAGAGUUAAAUUAUAUUAGUGAAUUAGUAGGAAUAUACCCUUCCACCGUUACCAGCUUUUCUUAUUUGCCUUUAAUCUAUGGGCAAAAUUGGUAUUCUUACUUUUAUUUUAACUAUGAUAGAAAUUUAAUUCAGAUUUAAUCCGAAAUUAUUUGAUGGACACUAACAGUAAAUAUAUUUUUGAAUAACGGAGAAAUAUGUGAAGAGUAUAUUUGAAAUAAAAAAUAAUAAUAAUAAAUAAGAUAUUUCAGAAGUUUUGAGAAAUAUAUACAUAACUUUUUUUUUUUUUUUUUAAUCAGACAUAAAAUGUGCUUGAAUGAAUCCAUGACCCAUGAUGAGCGCAGGUUCAAUGUUAGAAAAGCCCAAAUAAAGAAGGGCCACAUGCAUGUUGGGUACAUGCAUGAAUGCACAUACAGGACAUGACACAUUGUCGUGUAGUUUGCAGUUAAAGUGGAAUUCCCAUCCCGAAACACACGGAAAUCCCAUGUCUAAUAAAAGAAGAGACAAAUUGUGCAUGCACUUUGUUAAUUGCAUCAAUUUUCGUGGUCCCGUUCCGAAUAUAAAUUAAAAUUUCGACAUGAAUAUAACGUGACAGGUCAUUUUAUCUAACAAUUUAAGCUUUUAGUUAUUACAUCGUAUUAAGGUUCGGUUCACACUUCUGUCCUAGUUCAAUGCCUUUGAUCGAGUCCGUCCUGUGUCCGUCUUGUCCAAUUAUCACUAAAAAUCAUUCAGUUCUUACUCUUUUGCUCAUUUCUUUUCUAUCGGUCAAAAAGAAGCUACGACAAUUUGAAGUUUAUAAUUAUGCUUCUUAUUUUCAGAUAGUGUUAUUAGAAUAGAUAAAACUCUAGCGGGGAGUGUUGAAAUUUUAUUAGAAAUUAAGAUCGUACAUUCUGUCAUAAUUGUGAUUUCUAUACCUGAUUUGUAGGCGCGAAUAUUUACUCGUGGUUCGUUCUCGUUCGUGAUCUAUAAGAAAACGAAACAUUUCGAGUCUAAUUCUCUUAUCUCCGAAAAUGGAGCCGUCACGAAAAGUUGGAUUAGGGUUAGACCGUAACUCCCAUAUGUUACAUAUUUGUAUAUAACUUAAUAUAAGAACGUUAAAUCAUCUCCGUCCAUCAAGGAUAUGUCUAGAUACAUCCUAACCGAUAGACCUAUUAUAUCUUUAUAGAUUGACUUGAAUAAACCGACUUUAUUUUUAUAGAUCGCUUUGAAUAAAUCACGUGAGCCACAUCCAAUAGGGAGUUCGUCGAGGAGCUAUUCAUCACGUGUUAGUUUUAUUAUCAUCUAAAAUUUUUUUUAGACAUUUUUAACAAUAAAAUCUAAAACAAAAUUAUAAUUCAAGAAAGAAGAAUUAUAAUCUUUAAACAGAGAAAAAACUGAAUAUAUGACAGUGGAUCAGGGCUCCUCAAUGAGUCGUCGUCAGGGAGCUCCCUACUAAAAGUUUUAUUUUAUUAAAAUUAUGUUGUUUUUGAGUGAUUUCACGCUGUAAUAUGUAAGAUAUAUUUACCAUCACACUCUUCCACAGUAUGAAACAUUUUUUUUUCAUAAUUUUAAUCAGAGCUUUAAUUUAGAUGUUUCAACUUAAAGUUUAAAUUUUUGGAUUGGGCACGAAUCCUUUAACACCUACAAUAUUAGAGGUUUUAAAUCAGCAUUUCAUUCAUCAAAUACAUUUUCAAUAAUAUUAAAAAAAAUAAACUAUAUAUCAACAAAAUUCAUAAAUUUGAAAUAUAAAGUACAGAAUAAUUGCUCCCCGUGAUUUAUGUACCUAAUUAAUGUCUGCGCAGUAAUAUUUCAGAACUCAUGAUUUUUAAUAUACAUAUAUCAUUCGAAUAUUGUAGAUCAUACUAAUCUUCUUUAGUUUUAAUUUUAUUGGACGAAUAAUUAAAAAUUAAUAACCGUGUACGAGAAAUAGUCAUAAACCAGGUGCAGGCAAUAAGUUUUUGCAUAAACACUGUUCAUGUGUCGGCGCUUAAACUAUAUGAUAAUGAUAAGCCAAAAAGGUCAAAGGACAUGAGAUAGGUGGUGACGUACGUAUUAAUAUAACUAUAAAUAUAAAUAUAGAGUGAGGCUACUAUGCUAUCGGAAGCACGGAGCCUUCCGUGCUUCCAGCUCGUUUUCAAUAUUGCGACUUUCGAAUCGUCGAUCGGCUCCGUUAAAUUUGAUAUAGAGUAUUUGGAGUACCUAGAAAAUAAAUUUUAUUAUUUUUCGAUAUCAUUUUCUUAGUGAUCGAAUGGGCUCAAAAUUAAUAAAUUUCAAUGGCCGUAGUGAGCCGUUUGCAAGUUUAACUGUGUAGAAAUAUCCAAAUCACGUGAAAUUUUGAUAGAAAAUUCUUUAUACUAUAUAAAAUAAGAUUAAUAUCUUUGAUUUAAAAUUUUAAUGUCAUAUUAUUAUAUUUUGUAAGAUUUUUAUUUUCAGCCGUUGAUUUUGAGCCCUUUCGUUUACUAGGCAAAUGAUAUCGUAAAAUAAUAAAAUUUAUUUUCUAGGUACUCCAAAUACUCUAGAUCAAGUUUAACGGAGCCGAUCGACGAUUCGACAGUCGCAACAUCGAAAACGAGCUGGAAGCACGGAAGGCUCCGUGCUUCCAAUAGCAUAGUAGCCUCACUCUAUAAAUAUAAAUAUAAAUAUAUACUGAUACAUCAUACAUAUAUAUAUAUAUAUAUAUAUUAGCGGCUAAUAUCUACGUACUUAAUUACAAUUCAACAUGUCAAAAAUGUUUAAUAUAUACAGGGGAUUUAAUUAGCAACAGAGUUCUCGCGUUUCACAAUUCACAAAGAAAAAAGAAUGUAUAGAAUUUAUAUAACUGAUAAAGAAAAAAGCAUUAAAAUUGGAAAAAAAAAUGUAUAGAAUUUAUUUGAAUUAUAAGUUAUUUUGAUUUGAAUAUUCAAUCUUUUAAAAUUUUGAUCGUAAUAAUUAUUAUUUUUUUUAAUUUGUUUUGAUUUACAUCAUUUAAUGACUUUGCAGGUACAAAAUUUAAGUGAAUUGUUUGUUUUAAUAAACUUGUAGUUACAUGAAUAAAAUAAAAUGUGCUGAUUGAAUCUGUGAAGAUAAAGGACGUAUUUUAAAUUUUAAAAUUAAAGAGUCAUUAACUGGCUCAAAUCAAAUUAAAUCGGAAUGUUAUGCGGCAUAAAUAAAAAUUUUAAAAAAUUAAAUUGUUAGAUUAAAAUGGAUAAUAGUUGAGAUAAGUUCUAUAUAUUUUUACCUUAAUAUCAGAAGUUUAAUUAACCCGGAGAAAUGCAGUGUUAGGAAAUAGAUUACAUAUUUUCUAUAUAUUAAUGAAGUUUUCGUAUAUAAUUUAUCGGAUAUUACUGUAUUCAUUAAUUUCCUUCCCACCUAAAUAUUUUGCUUUUGAUAAAAAAUUUUAGAUGUUAAUCGAAUGAUUUGUACUUUGAUUUUAGAAUAAUUUAAGUAAUGGAUAUCUGUAUUUACCAAAUUUUGCAUUUGUAAUUAUACUAAAUUUAUUAAAUUAUAAAAAACAACUGUACAACUUCAAAACUUAAACUACAUAGAACGGUAUUUUUAUUAUUUAUAUUUAACACUAAUGUGGGCUGAUAUUAAAUGGAAGAAAAUAAAAUAAUAUUAGGAGUUUGGUAACACUUGAACACAGGAUAUAUCUUUUGCGCGAAUACUAUGUGGAAAUAUACAAAAGAACUGUAUAUCUCCAAAAGGUCGAAAGUUCGAAACUCUGUAUCUUCUUUUAGUGAAGAGGUGAUUUGACCCAUAACUUUGGGUUGGAGUUUUGGACGUCAAUGGAUACGGAUACCCGAAAUUUUAUCCGAACCUGAACCCGAAUGGAGCAGAUAUAUUUAAUGCUAAAUGGAUAUGGAGAUCAAAAAUAAAAACCUGACGGAUAUAGAUUCGAAUAUAGAUUUUGACUGUACCCGAACCCGACCCGAACCGGACGAAUAUGAAUUCGGAUAUGGAUUUUGACUGUUCCCGACCCGAACCCGGAAUUUUAGGUAGUGAAUAUAAUUUUCUAUCAAAAAUUCAACCUAUUCCGAUUCUUUUACACAGUUAAACUAACAAAUAUUCCAUACCGGGCGUUAAAAAUUGUCAAUUUUGUGAGUUUUUGAUUGUAACGUAAAUGAUAUCAAAAAAUUAUAAAAUUUGAUUUUUAUAAGUUUUAAAUGUUUUAGAUAACGUUUAACGGUAUGGAUCGUCGAUUCGGAAGCUCUAUCGUCGAAAACGACUUAUGAGUACGAGGGCGAUCAUACUCAUAAGAGUAUAGUAGUCGGACUAUAUAUAUAUAUAUAUAUAUAUAUAUAUAUAUAUAUAUAAUUGAGCUCUUAUGCUUUUAAAAGUACCAAGUCAUUGGUGCUUGUAAGUUUUCGACCUUUGGAUUAAUAGAUGUGCGGUUAGGAUGAUAUGGGUCCCCUAGGGUUGAGUGAGUGGUUGGUUGAAUAGUAUAAUCUAACAGAUGAAAAUGAUCAAAUGCAUAGAUCUAAUGGUAGAAAAUUUACAAGCACCAAAUGCUUGGUGCUUUUACAAGCACCGUAGCCGGACUCAUAUAGAAUUGAGCUCCUAUGCUUUUAAAAGUACCAAGUCAUUGGUGCUUGUAACUUUUUAGCCCUUGAAUUAAGAAAUGUGCGGUUAAGUUGAUGUGGGCUCCCUAGGGUUAAGUGGGUGGUUUGUUGAAUAGUAUAAUCUAACGGGUGAAAAUGAUCAAAGGCGUAGAUCUAACGGUAAAAAAUUUACAAGCACCAUAGCCGGACUCUCUCUCUCUCUCUCUCUCUCUGUAUAUAUAUAUAUAUAUAUAUAUAUAUAUAUAUAUAUAAAAUUUGAUAUUAUAUUUAAAUUUGUAUUUUAAAAAUUUAGAUUUGAUGUAAUAAGGGAUAAUUUCAUAGAUGCCCUUCUGGGGACUUUUAAUUUCAUCAAUACCCUUCUAAAAUUGAUAAUAUCAUGAAUACUCUCCAAUAUAUAAAAAAUUUUCAUACAUACCCUCCACUAGUUAAAGUCCGUUAGAAAUGGGAUUAAAUUUUCAAAAUGCCAUUUUUACCCUUUAUCUCUUAUCAAUAGUAAAAUUACUAAUAGGUAUUUUAAGACAAUUUUAAUAAAUAUAAAUUUAACUAAUUUAAUAUACUAAAUAUAAAACUAAAUUAUUAAUAUAUACAUUAAUUAUUAAAAAUAUAUAAAAAAUGUAUUUUAUAUAUAAUAUGUUUUUAUAUAAUUUUGGUUUUGUUUUUGGUUUCGGAUUUCGGCUCAAGUUUAGUUUGGAUAUAGACUAAAACAAUAACUGAAUUUGAAUAUAAUGAGACUUUUUUUUUUGCUUCUAUAACUGAAACUAUCCCUGCUCAGCAUCAAUUAAGAUCACCCAUUCAAAAUUGGGUUCAUAUAUAUCUAUAUCAAUUCACAUUCCUAAUCAGUAAUAGUAAAUUUAAAAUAAAUGAUAGAUUUAUUUUUUUUAUUUAAUCAAAAAUAAAUUAUAUAACUAUAUGCAUGCAUUUUUUCGUCGAUUGAAAAAAAAGAGAGAGUUUUGUUCAAAAGCUAAAAUAUAUAAUAUUUCAGUUUUUUAAUGCAUUUAAUAUAGAUAAAAUUAUCGUGAAUAAUUUUGGUUAAAAAAUUUUGCAAGUUUCCAAGAUUAAACAAAGAUAAAAAAAAAUCCUCAACUUUUAUUUUUAUUUAAAUUUUUAUACAUAGUUAUUUAUUUGCUAAAAUAUAAAUAGAGCCACUAGAUUUUGUUAAAUCAUAAAAAAAAUGGACAAAAUCUCAUUUUCCGUGCACUAAAAUUAGUUAAUUUUUUAAAAAAUUAAAAAUUAAUGGGAUGUCAACUAAAAUAUAAAAGUUGAGGGAGUUGUUUUAAAAUGACAUAUAGCUGAGGGAUCUCCAUGCAUUUUUACUUAUAGGAGUUGAGGGUAAACUAGUCAUAUUAAAAGUUAACCCAUCUUUAACCAUUCAAUAACUAUGGUAAAGUUAGAAUAACUAACAGUAGGGGUAUUGAUGUUAUUUUUUGAUGUUUUCAGGGGUAUGUAUGAUAUUUUAAAUUUUAGAAGGGUAUAUAUGAUAUUUUAAAGUUUAGAAGGGGCAUCUAUGAAAUUGCCCCUAUAUUUUAAAAUAUUGAAAAAAAAAUAAUUGUUUCGGAUUAAUUUGAACUUUCGGGUUCGGGUUCGGAUUUCGAAUUUUUGGUUGGGUUCGGAUUCAGGUUUUUGAAAAUUCGCCCCGAAUCCGACCAUUGACUUCUCUAGUUGGAGUGACUCCAGGAGUGUGAAAAAGAGAAAAAAAAUUUCUAAAAAAGUUACUAAAUAAGAUUGGGAACUUCAAGUUAUUUUUUCUAUUCCAAUUAGGAUUUAAAUUUCAAAAUAGAAAUUGCCACUUCUACCUAGAUUGGACUUUGCAUACCCUAACUUUAGUUUUUUACUUUAGAUGCAAUGGCUUCUAGAAGUUUUUUUUCAAAAAAAAAAAAAAAAACUCCCCCUUGAUGUUGUACACCUGAAAUUAUAGCAAGUUCAGCUUAUAUUUCUAAUUUUGUUAAAAUCCAAUAUAACAAUUAAUUCUUUUAAUAAUAAUAGGUACUUACUAUUUAAAAAUAGCAUCUCACGAAAUAUAUUUUUUUAAUAAUAUUGUGCAGACAAUAUUUUACUGAACAACAUUAUGACCGAAUUUAGUAUCAUUACUGUUUGUUUUUUUAUAUUUGUUUUCAAACACUAAUUCUAUAUAAUUUAAAGUGUGGGAGAAAAUAUUUCUUUUUUAUUGUGUUAUAAUUGGUUCCGUUGUAAUGUAUUUGGCUAAGUAACACAUGUCAGCUCAUUUAAAAGUAACACAUGUAUUUGCCAAAUAAAUAUUUUCUAAUAUUUAUUUAAUUAUAUGCCAAGAGUAAAAAUUGAUAUCUACUAAUGGGCCUAAACUCAAUAGGCUUAAAUUUUUAAAUUGAAACGAGUUUCAUUAUGUAUAUAGAGAGAGAGAGAGAGAGAAAGAAAGAGAGAGCUGCUAUACUCUGAUAAGUAUAGACCAUUUUGUACUUAUAAAUUUUCGGUUGUUGAAUAAACAGAUGUGCGGUUAGGAUGAUAAUGGUUUUCGGUUAGAAAGAUAGUUGUCCCCUAGGGUUGAGUAGGUGGUUAAUUGUAUAGUGUGAUCUAAUUAUGUGAAAAUGAUUAAAGGGGUAGAUCUAAUGACUGAAAACUUAUGAAUGCAAAAGAAUCUAUAGAGACAGAACUGAUCCCCUAACACAGAUAUUAUAUAAGCAUUCUACAUGCAUCGAGACUUUGUUAGUUAGAAAGAACCUAAUUUAGAAUUGAAUGUGCCGAUCGAAAAGCAAAUGCGCCUGCUUUCGCUCUUCUUUUUUCUGUCACCGUCGCUGAA
rnacentral:lncRNA from 1 species